GCAAGCAUGGAGCACUAGGCGCAGGGGAUGGGCAACUGGCAAGCGGGGAGAUGCAUGCAGCGCACUUAGUGCCUGGUACAUACCAAGUCCUUUUAGUCUGGAUUUCAUUAUUUUUAAAUGGGUAUUGCUAUUUUUAAAAGAAUAGUUACAAAUAUUUAUUGUGUGUUUUGAAAUAAGUGGGUCAAGAUCAAUAAGAUAUUGUUGAUCAAUUGAUCAAUAAGAUAUCUUUUAUUCUUAAAAAUCAUAUUCUUCUGGUUCAGUGGGGAAGAGACUGCCGACCUGUAUUUACAGCAUUAUGUGAUAAGUGUUCUCCUUUUCAGGUAUGUAUUAGUCUGUUCUCAUGCUGUCAAUAAAGACAUACCUGAGACUGGGUAAUUUAUAAAGGAAA
ensembl:lncRNA novel transcript